UACGUAAGGACCGAGCGUUGUCCGGAAUCAUUGGGCGUAAAGGGUACGUAGGCGGGUCAUUAAGUUAGAAGUCAAAGGCUAUAGCUCAACUAUAGUAAGCUUCUAAAACUGGAGACCUUGAGUAAUGGAAGGGAAAGUGGAAUUCCUAGUGUAGCGGUGGAAUGCGCAGAUAUUAGGAGGAAUACCGGUGGCGAAGGCGACUUUCUGGCCAUUAACUGACGCUGAGGUACGAAAGCGUGGGUAGCAAACAGGAUUAGAUACCCCCGUAGUCC
rnacentral:rRNA from 1 species